GACGAACGCUGGCGGCGUGCUUAACACAUGCAAGUCGAACGAGUGGCGAACGGGUGAGUAACACGUGGGUGAUCUGCCUUGCUCUUCGGGAUAAGCUUGGGAAACUGGGUCUAAUACCCGAUAGUGCAAGAUGGGCGCGCGGCCUAUCAGCUUGUUGGUGGGGUGAUGGCUACCAAGGCGUGACGGGUAGCCGGCCUGUGAGGGUGUACGGCGUCAUUGGGCCUAAGAUACGGCCCAGACGCCUACGGGGGGCAGCGGGGGGUAAUAUGGCGCAAUGAGGGGAAGCCUGAUGCAGCGGCGCCGGGUGGGGGAUGAAGGCUUUGGGGGUGUAAACGCCUUUCGACAGGGACGCGGUACCUGUAGAAGAAGCACCGGCUAACUACGUGCCAGCAGCCGCGGUAAUUC
rnacentral:rRNA from 1 species